rnacentral:rRNA from 1 species
AGUUUAUUACUUCUGUAACUGACCUGCGGAGGGAUCAUUACACAAAUAUGAAGGCGGGCUGGAACCUCUCGGGGUUACAGCCUUGCUGAAUUAUUCACCCUUGUCUUUUGCGUACUUCUUGUUUCCUUGGUGGGUUCGCCCACCACUAGGACAAACAUAAACCUUUUGUAAUUGCAAUCAGCGUCAGUAACAAAUUAAUAAUUACAACUUUCAACAACGGAUCUCUUGGUUCUGGCAUCGAUGAAGAACGCAGCGAAAUGCGAUAAGUAGUGUGAAUUGCAGAAUUCAGUGAAUCAUCGAAUCUUUGAACGCACAUUGCGCCCUUUGGUAUUCCAAAGGGCAUGCCUGUUCGAGCGUCAUUUGUACCCUCAAGCUUUGCUUGGUGUUGGGCGUCUUGUCUCUAGCUUUGCUGGAGACUCGCCUUAAAGUAAUUGGCAGCCGGCCUACUGGUUUCGGAGCGCAGCACAAGUCGCACUCUCUAUCAGCAAAGGUCUAGCAUCCAUUAAGCCUUUUUUUCAACUUUUGACCUCGGAUCAGGUAGGGAUACCCGCUGAAC